CCUACGGGUGGCAGCAGUGAGGAAUAUUGGUCAAUGGGCGCGAGCCUGAACCAGCCAAGUAGCGUGAAGGAUGACUGCCCUACGGGUUGUAAACUUCUUUUAUAAAGGAAUAAAGUUAGGCACGUGUGCCUUUUUUUAUUUACUUUAUGAAUAAAGAUCGGCUAACUCCGUGCCAGCAGCCGCGGUAAUACGGAGGAUCCGAGCGUUAUCCGGAUUUAGUGGGUUUAAAGGGAGCGUAGAUGGGUUGUUAAGUCAGAUGUGAAAGUUUGCGGCUCAACCGUGAAAUUGCAAUUGAUACUGGCAGCCUUGAGUACAGUUGAGGUAGGCGGAAUUCGUGGUGUAGCGGUGAAAUGCUUAGAUAUCACGAAGAACUCCGAUUGCGAAGGCAGCUUACUAAACUGCCACUGACAUUGAUGCUCGAAAGUGUGGGUAUCAAACAGGAUUAGAUACCCUAGUAGUC
rnacentral:rRNA from 1 species